rnacentral:rRNA from 1 species
UGACUGUACCUGAAAAACAAGCCACGGCUAACUACGUGCCAGCAGCCGCGGUAAUACGUAGGUGGCAAGCGUUAUCCGGAUUUACUGGGUGUAAAGGGCGUGUAGGCGGUUUAGUAAGUCGGAUGUGAAAUUCUCGGGCUUAACCCGGGCACUGCAUCCGAAACUACAAAACUUGAGUACUGGAGAGGAUAGUGGAAUUCCUAGUGUAGCGGUAAAUGCGUAGAUUUAGGAGGAACACCGGUGGCGAGGCGACUAUCUGGACAGUACUGACGCUGAGGCGCAAACGGGGGAGAAACAG